GAUGAACGCUGGCGGCGUGCCUAAUACAUGCAAGUCGAGCGAAGGGACGAGAAGCUCGCUUCUCUGAUGUUAGCGGCGGACGUGAGUGUCACACGUGGAUAACCAACCUCUAAGACUGGGAUAACUUCGGGAAACCGCCGCUAAUACCGAAGAAUAUUUUGAUCCGCAUGUUUCAAAAGUGAAACACGGUCUUGCUGUCACUUAUAGACGGAUACGCGCUGCCUUAGCUAGUGGGUAAGGUAACGGCUUACCAAGGCAACGAUGCAUAGCCGAACUGAGAGGGUGAUGGGCCACAGGGGAACGAGGACGCGGACCAGGAGCCUAAGGGAGGCACCAGUAGGGAAUCUUCGGCAGGGGGCGGAAGCGUGACGUAGAAAAGCGACGUGAGUCAUGAAGGUCUACGGAUCGUAAAACUCUGUUAUUCGGGAAGAACAUAUGUGUAAGUAACUGGGCACAUCUUGACUGUACCUAAACAGAAAGCAACGGCUAACUACGUG
rnacentral:rRNA from 1 species